UACAGAGGUCCCAAGCGUUGUUCGGAUUCAUUGGGCGUAAAGGGUGCGUAGGCGGCGCGGUAAGUCGGGUGUGAAAUCUCGGGGCUUAACUCCGAAACUGCAUUCGAUACUGCCGUGCUUGAGGACUGGAGAGGAGACUGGAAUUUACGGUGUAGCGGUGAAAUGUGUAGAGAUCGGGAGGAACACCGGUGGCGAAGGCGGGUCUCUGGGCAUUUCCUGACGCUGAGGCGCGAAAGCGUGGGGAGCAAACGGG
rnacentral:rRNA from 1 species